rnacentral:lncRNA from 1 species
GCAAGCUCAAUUUUAGAGGCACUUAUUCCUUCACUAAGGAAUUUAUUUUCUAAAAAAUAUGCCUUACUGCUGAUAAACACCUUUUGUUCAGUAGGCAGGUAAAAGUAAUAUCCCCUUAUUUUCUUGGGGUACCCUACGAAAUUACACUUAUCGGACUUAGGAUUGAGCUUGUCAGUUUGUAAUCAUUUAACAUAAGUUGGACACCUUCACACC